rnacentral:hammerhead_ribozyme from 1 species
AUUAGCUGAUGAGUCCCAAAUAGGACGAAGUAUCGCGCGUCGUGGAU